rnacentral:rRNA from 1 species
GGUCCCAAGGGUUGGGCUGUUCGCCCAUUAAAGCGGUACGCGAGCUGGGUUCAGAACGUCGUGAGACAGUUCGGUCCCUAUCCGUCGUGGGCGUAGGAAAUUUGAGAGGAUCUGUCCUUAGUACGAGAGGACCGGGAUGGACAUACCUCUGGUGUACCAGUUGUCGUGCCAACGGCAUAGCUGGGUAGCUAUGUGUGGACGGGAUAAGUGCUGAAAGCAUCUAAGCAUGAAGCCCCCCUCAAGAUGAGAUUUCCCAACUUCGGUUAUAAGAUCCCUCAAAGAU